UACGUAGGGGCUAGCGUUAUCCGGAAUCACUGGGCGUAAAGGGCGCGUAGGUGGUCUGUUAAGUCUGGCGUUAAAGCCUGGGGCUCAACCCCAGAUCAGCGUUGGAUACUGGCAGGCUAGACGGUUGGAGAGGCGAGUGGAAUUACCAGUGUAGCGGUGGAAUGCGUAGAUACUGGUAGGAACACCCAUUGCGAAGGCAGCUCGCUGGACAACACGUGACACUGAGGCGCGAAAGUGUGGGGAGCAAACCGGAUUAGAUACCCCGGUAGU
rnacentral:rRNA from 1 species